rnacentral:tRNA from 1 species
AAGGCCCUAGCUUAAUUAAAGCGUCUGGGUUGCAUCCAGGAGAUGUGGGUUAGUGCCCCGCGGGUCUUA